AGCGGUAAAAGCUCAAAUUUGAAAUCUGGUACUUUCAGUGCCCGAGUUGUAAUUUGUAGAAUUUGUCUUUGAUUAGGUCCUUGUCUAUGUUCCUUGGAACAGGACGUCAUAGAGGGUGAGAAUCCCGUUUGGCGAGGAUACCUUUUCUCUGUAAGACUUUUUCGAAGAGUCGAGUUGUUUGGGAAUGCAGCUCAAAGUGGGUGGUAAAUUCCAUCUAAAGCUAAAUAUUGGCGAGAGACCGAUAGCGAACAAGUACAGUGAUGGAAAGAUGAAAAGAACUUUGAAAAGAGAGUGAAAAAGUACGUGAAAUUGUUGAAAGGGAAGGGCAUUUGAUCAGACAUGGUGUUUUUUGCAUGCACUCGCCUCUCGUGGGCUUGGGCCUCUCAAAAAUUUCACUGGGCCAACAUCAAUUCUGGCAGCAGGAUAAAUCAUUAAGAAUGUAGCUACU
rnacentral:rRNA from 1 species